GGCAAUGAUGAUACAAUCCAUCUUGUUUGAGAUGUAGUGGAGCCAAGUCCCUGUCUUUCCAGGGAGAACCUACUUGGUUAAGCUGCAUUUCACAUGACAUAACUGGAUUUUAAUGAGCC